rnacentral:lncRNA from 1 species
UAAAUCGACUUAAAUUUCAAGUACCCGGUUAAUUAGCUCUAAUUAUGACGUUUCUCUGUUUAAUAGGUAUGUUUCCUGUGUAUGAAGACUAGAUUAGUAUUUUUGGUCCCUGGGGACAAAUCUGUAAACUAUGUAAGAGAAAUGUCUGUGCCAAGUGUUAUACCAAAAUGCGAAUUCCCACAGAACACUUUUCUCAUGUUCCGGUCGUAGCUUUAAGUCCUCAACUUGUUUCUCCGAAUGAAAGCAGUAAUGAUGAUUCUCUGAUGAGUCGUCUGGGUCUCCUGGAUUUGAAACCACUGAGCGUUGGAAGCGCACCUUGCAGCCCGAAGCUCUCAAGAUCCAAUCAAACCAAGUCAGUUGACGUGGAAAAUGGACCCCAGUCUCUGCCUCCCACCAACCCAAAAUCUCUCGACAGGGAGCAAAAGACUAUUCUGAGUGGAUCAAAAACCCUGGGAAGGAAGUCAGGAAAAGCCGACAAAGUGAGAGGCCUGCAAAUGACGGUCUGCCACGACUGUAAGACGAUGGUCAUUCUCAUCAUCAAAUCCUCACGCACAAGUCGAAAUAGUCUUCUGAAACAGCUUAAAUUAGACUUGGCACUGGUUUAUUAAUUUAUGUUCCUUUUUUAAGGAGAAAAUGAAAUGAGAACACCUCAAUUUUCCCCACAAAGUAAGUAUCUACAAUGUCUCUGUAAAAUAUUUAGGAGGGAAUUUUAAGAAGAUUGUACUUACCUAUUGUAUUUCAAUCAAGGAUUGAUAAUUGUUCAUACCACUACAAUUUUAAAACUAUGGUUCAGAAGAGAAGUCUACAAUUAUUGUCUUUGUGCUUUUGAUCUGGAAAGCAUUUAUGUAUUCUAAUUAAACGGUCCCAUUUCCUACAUGUCUUAAGUGAAAUAAUUUGUGCAGAAAUAAGUGAUUUUAAUGUACAGGUUACUUGAUUUUAAAAGUCUGUGUCGCAUUGAAGUGAUAACUCUUUAAGUAAUGAAUUGAUAUUCUGGCUCUAUAAUGAUAGUCACAUUAAUGGCUGAAUCCUGGAAGUGCAUGAUUCGAUUAUUGUGAUGUUCAAAACUUUCUGCUCUUAUUUUAUUUUUAAAAGAAAAACAAAUUAACUUUGUUGUUUUAAAUUUUUACAACAGAAGAAAGAAAAUUAUUAAAUAAAUGAGAAGUAACACUAAUUUUUUCUAUUAAAUGAAUGACAUUCGACAGAAAACGGGGUACUUUGCUCUCUUAGAUUUCAGCUAUUGCUGUUUUUAGGAGAGUGUGAUUGGGAGGAAAUAAAUGAGGGGUUCCUGAGAGAGGAACACCCAAUUUCACCCAAUUUUUUUUACUUA